rnacentral:rRNA from 1 species
AGUGAACGCUGGCGGCAGGCCUAACACAUGCAAGUCGAGCGGCAGCGCGGGGGCAACCCUGGCGGCGAGCGGCGGACGGGUGAGGAAUUCGUCGGAAUCUGCCUUUUUGUGGGGGAUAACGUAGGGAAACUUACGCUAAUACCGCAUACGUCCUACGGGAGAAAGUGGGGGACCGCAAGGCCUCACGCAGAAAGAUGAGCCGACGACCGAUUAGCUAGUUGGUGGGGUAAAGGCCCACCAAGGCGACGAUCGGUAGCUGGUCUGAGAGGAUGAUCAGCCACACUGGGACUGAGACACGGCCCAGACUCCUACGGGAGGCAGCAGUGGGGAAUAUUGGACAAUGGGCGCAAGCCUGAUCCAGCCAUGCCGCGUGUGUGAAGAAGGCCUUCGGGUUGUAAAGCACUUUUGUCCGGAAAGAAAUCCCUGGAGCUAAGACCUUCGGGGGAUGACGGUACCGGAAGAAUAAGCACCGGCUAACUUCGU